AAGAAAGAUUAAUACCGGAUAGUAUAGCAUUUCGUCUUGGUUUUGCUAUUAAAGAAUUUCGGUUAUUGAUGGGGAUGCGUUCCAUUAGUUUGUUGGCGGGGUAACGGCCCACCAAGACUACGAUGGAUAGGGGUUCUGAGAGGAAGGUCCCCCACAUUGGAACUGAGACACGGUCCAAACUCCUACGGGAGGCAGCAGUGAGGAAUAUUGGUCAAUGGACGAGAGUCUGAACCAGCGAAGUAGCGUGAAGGAUGAAGGCUCUAUGGGUCGUAAACUUCUUUUAUACGGGAAUAAAGUGAACGCACGUGUGGUAUUUUGUAUGUACCGUAUGAAUAAGGAUCGGCUAACUCCGUGCCAGCAGCCGCGGUAAUACGGAGGAUCCGAGCGUUAUCCGGAUUUAUUGGGUUUAAAGGGUAGCGUAGGGCGGUGUACUUAAGUCAGUUGUGAAAAGUUUACGGGCUCAACCCGUAACAAUUGCAGUUGAUUACUGGGUGCCUUGAGUG
rnacentral:rRNA from 1 species